UACGUAGGGCGCAAGCGUUGUCCGGAAUUAUUGGGCGUAAAGAGCUCGUAGGCGGCUUGUCACGUCGGGUGUGAAAGCCCGGGGCUUAACCCCGGGUCUGCAUUCGAUACGGGCUAGCUAGAGUGUGGUAGGGGAGAUCGGAAUUCCUGGUGUAGCGGUGAAAUGCGCAGAUAUCAGGAGGAACACCGGUGGCGAAGGCGGCUCUCUGGGCCUUACCUGACGCUGAGGAGCGAAAGCGUGGGGAGCGAACAGG
rnacentral:rRNA from 1 species